UGCUACUUAAUUUUUCUGCUUCAAUUGUUCCAGCUUUGGUCAUUGAUGGAUCUUUCAGCUGACUUCUGUGCCCCUUUGUCAUACCUCCAUAAUUUUUUGUUAACACUUCCUUCUAACACUACUCCGGCCUGAUCUUGUGUACUUGUGCCCCAAUCCUCAAAUCAGCAUCACUCUAAGAAACCCUGGUUCCUUUUUUUGGAGAAUAAUGUAAGAAACUUGGAGCCAGGCAUAGGUAUGCUCUUUGCUACUGGAGUAUCAUUAAUUUUAGGGCUGAUGAAAAAUGAAAAUAUAUGUGUGUAUACCAACCUCUCUCUCUCUGUGUGUGUGUGUAUGUGUAUAUAUAUAUAUGUCAUCAUCAUAUCCCCAGAAAUCUAAAAUGUUGUUGUCUAGCUAGUUCCUAUACAGAAGAGAAGAUUUUGAACGUCCUCACUACAACAAAUGAUACAUGUUUAAGCUGGCACAGUGAAGGUUCUCAAUUCACAUUUGCUGUAUUCUUCAAUUGCAUGAGUGAAUGAAUGAAUAAGUUCCUCAGAAACCUACUAUUAAAUUAUUGCUUUGAGUGAGAAAGCCAACGCAUUUCAAACUGUGAACUGUGAAGUUGUUGCAGUUUCAGUGGAUUUUCAUUAUAACCAUCACGUCUAGAUACAUACACCAAAGAAAGCCAGUUUGGGCCAUACGAGCAUUGUACUCUUGUCAGACUUAAAUAAAUAGAUUUCCUGAGACUAUGAUGUGCUGGUAGGAGGUCCUGACCUUCCACUAAUGGGUCUUUUCAUAAUAGAACCCCAGUGGAAAUCAUCAAGUAUAUGAAUGUCAAUGAUCUCCCAAUGGCUGAAGCAUGGAAGAGACUGCCUUCUUCGUGAAGGCAUGCCAGUUGGUGGAGAUCCACAGAGAAGUCUGACUGGCAAAUAGAUAUUGAGUUCUUCUACAACCAAGCCAAAUCCCACUGCUUCCAAAAAAUACUUUGAGAAGAAAAGUCAGUAGAUCAUCUCAUAUGCACCUGCAACUUCUCGUGUCAGAAAAGAACUACAGGUA